rnacentral:misc_RNA from 1 species
GAGCCUAUGUCAACUUGUAGGAAGGUGAUGUUGGGAAUAAAUCUUGCUUUUAAUUUAUCCAAAAAAAUGGGAAAAGCUUUUGCUUCUUUUUGUAACAACUAACACAUGAAACUGAGCCUUUUGAGCAAGCAUACUUGCUAUGCUUUUUUUUCUUUUCUCUAAAACAAAUUUUCUGAUGCAAAACCAUGAUACUUCCAAGUGUUGUUUUGUAAUUGGUGAUAUGCUCAAGCUUUAAUUACUUUUGUGAAUGUUAUUUCACUCCUUUUAAAUCAGAAUUUUCAUUUAAGUGUUUUUCUUUUUUUACUUUUCUAUGUUUCGACUUAUUUCUUCCAUUUAUUUCAUUCAAUAUCAUCAAUUAUUAAAAAUCUCUUAUCAUGCAGAUAGUUAACUGGAGAACCCAU